UACAGAGGGGGCAAGCGUUGUUCGGAAUUACUGGGCGUAAAGGGCGCGUAGGCGGCCGGCUAAGUCGAACGUGAAAUCCCCGGGCUCAACCCGGGAACUGCGUCCGAUACUGGCAGGCUUGAAUCCGGGAGAGGGAUGCGGAAUUCCAGGUGUAGCGGUGAAAUGCGUAGAUAUCGGGAGGAACACCUGUGGCGAAGGCGGCUUUCUGGGCCUUACCUGACGCUGAGACGCGAAAGCGUGGGGAGCGAACGGG
rnacentral:rRNA from 1 species